UAAACAUGUUUGUAGUUGUUUAAUUCAUCACAUCUAGGCAUAAAACUUCUUGGAAGUUGAGUCCAAUAAUGGCACGUCCUCCUGGAAUAAGCUUGAUUUUUCCCAACUGUGAAAAAUACAAACUUUAUUUUAAAUUUCCUAUCCCUUAUCAGCUUAUUUAAAUAAAAAGUUAGAUAUCAUUAGAAUCAUAAGAAGUAGCUUUAACUAUAUUUGUUCAAAAUUUCAUGAUAAACAUGAUUUAUGAGAGAAAUAUUGGAAAAAAUCUGCAAGGUGGUCCAAAAUAUGUACCCGGUCCAAAAUAAGUCCGUUACCCUAUAAUAGUUUUAAACUGUAAAAACACGAAUUUUUCCAUGUUUUACGGCUAAAAACUAAUAAAAUUGAGCGAAAUUGAAAAAUUUCAUGCUAAUAUGAGGUUUUACAUCAAUUUUGACUAAUUUGAAAAAAAAAUUUAAAAUUAAAAAGGGACAAAAAAACUGUUCGUUUUUGGCAACAUUCGAUUUUCGCAACAUAAAAUUACGAGCGUAUUGCCAAAAACGAACGGGGUCUGUAUAAUGUUUUGAAUUUUAUGUUUUAGAAAGAGGUACAUCUUCUGUUGGGCAGAAACAUCAACAAUGUUGUCAAUGUUACCCUGCUCUGUUGAAGAAUCCACUGGCCUUCCUAAAGCACUGGGUUGGAAAAAUCCGUUUUACAUGAAGAACAGUAGAUUUCUUAGGAUGGAACUACAAUUUACUAACGACAUUCAAUUGAUCGUCAAAUGUGCUUUCGAUUUCCAAGGAAAAACGCUAUAUAGUGCUGGAUCCAAUUACUCAGGGUUCACCGGAAUGGUGCUUUCUAUGCCCGAAAAAAAAGCGCAGCCUGGUUAUUAAAGAUUCUUCCGAGGAGCGGUCUCCGAAGUUUUGUCGAGCAACUAGAAGUUUUCAGCCCAAACGAGUAUCAGAACUUCCGCCGCUUGAAUCGGAAUCAGAUUCCGACGAUGAUUAUAACUAGAAUUGUGCAAUUUUGAACGAUUCCUUUUUACUGGCCUCAUCGAAAUCUAUUGAAAAAGUCAGCAGCUCGUCAAUGCACAGAGAUCGAUAACGACGACUGAACCCACGAAAGGUAAAGAGAACGUAACUGAACGACCGUCUCGGAAAAUAACUCGAUGACGUACUGGCGAAGCAAACGGGUGAUCAGCUCCAACAAAUUCCACUCCAAAAGCACCCCUCAAGGUUGAUCGAUCGCAACUUGAGAAACAGUUCAGCAUUUUCAACACCCAUGAAAGUACAAGAUCUUCGAAAAUGCGAGAUUCGGGCAUCAGCAUUGCCAGCUCCACAAUUUUUUUGAUACCAGAAAAAGUUGGCGAUAUUGAAACGAAACAACAACCAUUUGUCGAGAAAACCAUUGAGGGCGAGUCUACUUCAAUGGUUCGCGAGAAUCAUCCAAAAAUCCGAUCGCCCCCAAAAGAAUGCCAUGAAAUCAAUGAUAGAAAUCGACACCAUUGUCAACAGGACUCGCCCGACCACCGAUUUCGGUAAACGACAGUUUAUCUCUUUAACUGGUAGACACACCCAUAAAAUUUAAGGAUCGUCCUUUGUCACCAAUCAAAGAACAAAUACGUCCUUGGAAACGUAGCAGUAAAGAAUCUCCCCCAACGGUGAUUCCGGAAUCGAAACCUUUACACAUAUACGACAAAGAGUAUCAAAUCAAGGUGGGUAUAUAUUCAGGAGGUGUUCCCGAAUAACGAAUUCCCGAUUCAGCCAUUUUGGCUAUGUAGGCUAUGCAACUAUACGGAACUCAUGAAGUUUGUUUACUAACAAACCCCAGAAAAGCUGAGCAUAAAAUAAACAAACUCAUUGAGAGCCCCGCUCACUUCUCGCCUACUUACUGUGAAAGUCGGAGAACCUAGUGUAUCUAAGAACCUUGUAUCAAAUAUAGAAAAAACUUAUUGGCUUC